GAUGAACGCUGGCGGCGUGCUUAACACAUGCAAGUCGAACGAAGCACCUUGAUUUGAUUCUUCGGAUGAAGAUCUUGGUGACUGAGUGGCGGACGGGUGAGUAACGCGUGGGUAACCUGCCUCAUACAGGGGGAUAACAGUUAGAAAUGACUGCUAAUACCGCAUAAGACCACAGCACCGCAUGGUGCAGGGGUAAAAACUCCGGUGGUAUGAGAUGGACCCGCGUCUGAUUAGGUAGUUGGUGGGGUAACGGCCUACCAAGCCGACGAUCAGUAGCCGACCUGAGAGGGUGACCGGCCACAUUGGGACUGGGCAACGGCCCAAACCCCUCCGGGGGGCAGAAGGGGGGAAUAUUGCAAAAUGGGGGAACCCCUAAGGCAGCGACCCCGGGGGAGCGAUGAAGUUUUUCGGUAUGUAAAGCUUUAUCAGCAGGGAAAAAAAUGACGGUACCUGACAAAAAACCCCCGGCUAAAUAC
rnacentral:rRNA from 1 species